rnacentral:tRNA from 1 species
GCUUGGGUGGUGUAGUGGUCUAGCAUUGCGGCCUGUCACGCCGCCGACCCGGGUUCGAAUCCCGGCCCAGGCG